UACGUAGGGGGCUAGCGUUGUCCGGAAUCAUUGGGCGUAAAGAGCGUGUAGGCGGUCCGGUAAGUCGGCUGUGAAAGUCCAGGGCUCAACCCUGGGAUGCCGGUCGAUACUGCCGGACUUGAGUACGGAAGAGGCGAGUGGAAUUCCUGGUGUAGCGGUGAAAUGCGCAGAUAUCAGGAGGAACACCAAUUGCGAAGGCAGCUCGCUGGGACGUUACUGACGCUGAGACGCGAAAGCGUGGGGAGCAAACAGG
rnacentral:rRNA from 1 species